rnacentral:rRNA from 1 species
UACGUAGGGUGCGAGCGUUAAUCGGAAUUACUGGGCGUAAAGUGUGCGCAGGUGGCCGCGCAAGUCGAGUGUGAAAUCCCCGAGCUUAACUUGGGAAUUGCGCUCGAAACUACGUGGCUCGAGUGUGGCAGAGGAAGGUGGAAUUCCACGUGUAGCGGUGAAAUGCGUAGAUAUCAGGAGGAACACCUGCGGUGUAGACGGCUUUCUGGACCAUAACUGACGCUGAGAUACGAAAGCGUGGGUAGCAAACAGG